rnacentral:piRNA from 1 species
UCCUGGUUGUAGAAGUAUCCUGCAUGGACUC